CCAGUCAUAUUAUCCUACUGCAAACAAAUGGUGCCUGGUGAAAGUAUUGGAUACAUACCUCCAAUCAUUACCACCACAGUCUGACAAACCGCUGCUAGUCUUACACAAAGAGGUCUUAACAACAGCCAAAUACAUGCAAUACAUCUGCAUGUUACUGACCAGACUAGGUCUGAACGCUGGCAACUUUUCUGGCCAUUCCUUUCGGAUAGGGACAGCCUCC